rnacentral:tmRNA from 1 species
GGGGACGACAUGGUUUCGACGGGAAUGGAAAGCGCAGAGGAGCAUGUGGAGGGGCGAGCGACCCGCCUUAAAAAACGUUUAAUUGUAUAUAGUCGGCAAUUCUUACGACUACGCUCUAGCUGCCUAAUUAACGCAGCUUCCGCACUUGGGCUCUUUUCCGUCUGGGUUCAAACUGCGGUCAUUUCGACGGAAUAGGUAAAAGUAGCGCCUGCCUGCCUAGCCGAAAUUUUUAGUAGGAUCGACUUUGCAUCGGUUGUUUUGCGCCAGUGUGAUUUUUAAAUUUUAAGCAAGACUGAACAUGGAGAGCCUCACGUAGACUUUUUUCGGACGCGGGUUCGACUCCCGCCGUCUCCACCA